CCUUGAAAAAGCAUGGAUAUAAAACUGGAAUGGUUGGUAAAUGGCAUCUAGGGAUAAAUGAGUUUCACAAUGAUGAUGGCCGUCAUCUUCCUAUUCACCAUGGAUUUGACACCGUGGGCUACAACUUACCCUUUACAAACCACUGGCAGUGUGAUGAUAUUGGUGUACAUCUAGAGCAUCCACUGCGUUCAAUAUGUUUUUUGUACUAUAACACGACAAUAGUUCA